GCAGCCUGAUGCAGCGACGCCGCGUGAGGGAUGACGGCCUUCGGGUUGUAAACCUCUUUCAGCAGGGACGAAGCGCAAGUGACGGUACCUGUAGAAGAAGGACCGGCCAACUACGUGCCAGCAGCCGCGGUAAUACGUAGGGUCCGAGCGUUGUCCGGAAUUACUGGGCGUAAAGAGCUCGUAGGUGGUUUGUCGCGUUGUUCGUGAAAACUCACAGCUUAACUGUGGGCGUGCGGGCGAUACGGGCAGACUUGAGUACUGCAGGGGAGACUGGAAUUCCUGGUGUAGCGGUGGAAUGCGCAGAUAUCAGGAGGAACACCGGUGGCGAAGGCGGGUCUCUGGGCAGUAACUGACGCUGAGGAGCGAAAGCGUGGGGAGCGAACAGGAUUAGAUACCCUGGUAGUCCACGCCGUAAACGGUGGGUACUAGGUGUGGGUUUCCUUCCUUGGGAUCCGUGCCGUAGCUAACGCAUUAAGUACCCCGCCUGGGGAGUACGGCCGCAAGGCUAAAACUCAAAGAAAUUGACGGGGGCCCGCACAAGCGGCGGAGCAUGUGGAUUAAUUCGAUGCAACGCGAAGAACCUUACCUGGGUUUGACAUGCACAGGACGUGCCUAGAGAUAGGUAUUCCCUUGUGGC
rnacentral:rRNA from 1 species